UGGGGAAUAUUGCGCAAUGGGCGAAAGCCUGACGCAGCGACGCCGCGUGGGUGAUGAAGGUCUUCGGAUCGUAAAACCCUGUCGUCAGGGACGAAGGUUGUGUUCCUAACAUGGAUGCAACUUGACGGUACCUGGAGAGGAAGCCCCGGCUAACUCUGUGCCAGCAGCCGCGGUAAUACAGAGGGGGCAAGCGUUAUUCGGAAUUAUUGGGCGUAAAGGGCGCGUAGGCGGUGGUUUAAGUGAGAUGUGCAAUCCCCGGGCUUAACCUGGGAACUGCAUCUCAGACUGGGUCGCUAGAGUGCUGGAGAGGGUGGUGGAAUUCCACGUGUAGCGGUGAAAUGCGUAGAGAUGUGGAGGAACACCAGUGGCGAAGGCGGCCACCUGGACAGUAACUGACGCUGAGGCGCGAAAGUGUGGGGAGCAAACA
rnacentral:rRNA from 1 species